GGGAAUAUUGGACAAUGGGCGAAAGCCUGAUCCAGCAAUGCCGCGUGAGUGAUGAAGGCCUUAGGGUUGUAAAGCUCUUUUACCCGGGAUGAUAAUGACAGUACCGGGAGAAUAAGCUCCGGCUAACUCCGUGCCAGCAGCCGCGGUAAUACGGAGGAAGCUAGCGUUAUUCGGAAUUACUGGGCGUAAAGCGCACGUAGGCGGCUUUGUAAGUUAGAGGUGAAAGCCUGGAGCUCAACUCCAGAAUUGCCUUUAAGACUGCAUCGCUUGAAUCCAGGAGAGGUGAGUGGAAUUCCGAGUGUAGAGGUGAAAUUCGUAGAUAUUCGGAAGAACACCAGUGGCGAAGGCGGCUCACUGGACUGGUAUUGACGCUGAGGUGCGAAAGCGUGGGGAGCAAACAGGA
rnacentral:rRNA from 1 species